rnacentral:rRNA from 1 species
AAUCAACGCUGGCGGCGUGCCUCAGACAUGCAAGUCGAACGCGAAGGUCCCCUUCGGGGGAUGAUUAGAGUGGCGCACGGGUGAGUAACACGUAGGUAAUCUACCUUCGAGUGGGGAAUAACUCAGGGAAACUUGAGCUAAUACCGCAUAAUGCAGCGGCACCACAUGGUGACAGUUGUUAAAGCAUUUAUGCGCUUGAAGAGGAGCCUGCGGCGGANAGCUAGUUGGUAAGGUAAUGGCUUACCAAGGCUACGAUCUGUAACCGGCCUGAGAGGGCGGACGGUCACACUGACACUGAAUAACGGGUCAGACUCCUACGGGAGGCAGCAGUCGGGAAUUUUGGGCAAUGGGCGAAAGCCUGACCCAGCAACGCCGCGUGAAGGAUGAAA